rnacentral:rRNA from 1 species
UGCCAGCCGCCGCGGUAAUACGGAGGGUGCGAGCGUUAAUCGGAAUUACUGGGCGUAAAGCGCGCGUAGGCGGCUUGAUCAGUCGGAUGUGAAAGCCCCGGGCUUAACCUGGGAACUGCAUUCGAUACUGUCUGGCUAGAGUAUGGUAGAGGGAAGUGGAAUUCCGAGUGUAGGGGUGAAAUCCGUAGAUAUUCGGAGGAACACCAGUGGCGAAGGCGGCUUUCUGGACCGAUACUGACGCUGAGACGCGAAAGCGUGGGGAGCAAACAGGAUUAGAUA